UACGUAGGGUGCGAGCGUUAAUCGGAUUUACUGGGCGUAAAGCGUGCGUAGGCGGUCCCCCAAGUCCGCUGUGAAAGCCCCGGGCUUAACCUGGGAAUGGCAGUGGAAACUAUGGGACUUGAAUCUGGCAGAGGGGGGUGGAAUGCCACGUGGUAGCAGUGAAAUGCGUAGAGAUGUGGCGGAACACCGAUGGCGAAGGCAGCCCCCUGGGCUGAGAUUGACGCUCAGGCACGAAAGCGUGGGGAGCAAACAGG
rnacentral:rRNA from 1 species